rnacentral:rRNA from 1 species
GUUGGGAACUAGGUGUGGGGUCCUUUCCACGGGUCCUGCGCCGUCGCUAACGCAUUAAGUUCCCCGCCUGGGGAGUACGGCCGCAAGGCUAAAACUCAAAGGAAUUGACGGGGGCCCGCACAAGCGGCGGAGCAUGCGGAUUAAUUCGAUGCAACGCGAAGAACCUUACCAAGGCUUGACAUGUACUCGAUGCUUCCAGAGAUGGGGGUUCCGUAAGGCGGGUGCACAGGUGGUGCAUGGCUGUCGUCAG